rfam:Triticum aestivum genome assembly, contig: Triticum_aestivum_CS42_TGACv1_scaffold_343449_4DL
AUAGUACUCCUUCCGUCCUAAAAUUCUUGUUUUAAAUUCGUCUAGAUACGGAUGUAUUUAAUACUAAAACGUGACUUAUACAUCCGUGUUUAGACAAAUCUAAGACAAGAAUUUUGGGACGGAGGGAGUACGAG